rnacentral:rRNA from 1 species
GACGAACGCUGGCGGCGUGCCUAAUACAUGCAAGUAGAACGCUGAAGGAGGAGCUUGCUUCUCUGGAUGAGUUGCGAACGGGUGAGUAACGCGUAGGUAACCUGCCUGGUAGCGGGGGAUAACUAUUGGAAACGAUAGCUAAUACCGCAUAAUAGUAGAUGUUGCAUGACAUUUGCUUAAAAGGUGCAAUUGCAUCACUACCAGAUGGACCUGCGUUGUAUUAGCUAGUUGGUGAGGUAACGGCUCACCAAGGCGACGAUACAUAGCCGACCUGAGAGGGUGAUCGGCCACACUGGGACUGAGACACGGCCCAGACUCCUACGGGAGGCAGCAGUAGGGAAUCUUCGGCAAUGGACGGAAGUCUGACCGAGCAACGCCGCGUGAGGGAAGAAGGUUUUCGGAUCGUAAAGCUCUGUUGUAAGAGAAGAACGAGUGUGAGAGUGGAAAGUUCACACUGUGACGGUAUCUUACCAGAAAGGGACGGCUAACUACGUG